rnacentral:rRNA from 2 species
GACGAACGCUGGCGGCGUGCCUAAUACAUGCAAGUCGUGCGGACCUUUUAAAAGCUUGCUUUUAAAAGGUUAGCGGCGGACGGGUGAGUAACACGUGGGCAACCUGCCUGUAAGACUGGGAUAACGCCGGGAAACCGGGGCUAAUACCGGAUCGUUUUUUCCUCCGCAUGGAGGAAAAAGGAAAGACGGCUUCGGCUGUCACUUACAGAUGGGCCCGCGGCGCAUUAGCUUGUUGGUGGGGUAACGGCUCACCAAGGCAACGAUGCGUAGCCGACCUGAGAGGGUGAUCGGCCACAUUGGGACUGAGACACGG